rnacentral:sRNA from 1 species
CGACGACUCCGGCCACCGCGGGUUCUAGCGCCAACUCGAUCUCUCUCCCUCUCUAAAAUCUCAUCAUUUAGCUAUGUAUAUAGGAUCAUAAUCCCUCCCAAAAUAGAAAUAAGGUGGUGUUCUUCUACACAUAAAUUAAUUACUUCACUUCUAUGAGUUUACUAUUGAGUUACAGCAUCUGGGAUUAAAUCACAAAUUCCAAAUCUGGUUGUAUGUGUUAAAGUUCUAAUCAAUAUAGUAAAUAAUC